AGAGAGAGACAUGCGCGCAUAUCAAUAAGCGGAGGAAAAGAAACUAACAAGGAUUCCCUUAGUAACGGCGAUGUGAAGCGGGAAGAGCUCAAAUUUGAAAUCUUCAAGGUUCUACCUUGACGAAUUGUAGUUUAUAGAAGUGUUUUCUGUUAGUGGAGUGGCAAAAGUUCUUUGGAAUAGGACAUCAUAGAGGGUGAGAAUCCCGUAUUUGGUCAUUCCUCCUAGCGUUGUGAUACACUUUCAACGAGUCGGAUUGUUUGGGAAUGCAGUCCAAAAUGGAUGGUAAAUUUCAUCUAAAGCUAAAUAUUGGCGAGAGACCGAUAGCGAACAAGUACCGUGAGGGAAAGAUGAAAAGAACUUUGAAAAGAGAGUUAAACAGUACGUGAAAUUGUCAAAAGGGAAGCGUUUGACACCAGUGUUGUUUUUCCGAAAAUCAAUUACGAAUGUUUUGUUUUUGAGGAGUUAUGACUUCAUCGGCUUGCUCCUUUCUUUACGAAACUUUCUUAAUGCACUUUUCGGUUAACAAGUCAACAUCAAUUUCUUUUGUUGUAAAAGGGUAUGAGGAAGGUGGCUUUCUUUUCGGAGAAAGUGUUUAUAGCCUCGUGCCUCUGCAAUCGGAGAGAUUGAGGUCUGCAGCGUAGAUCCUUCGGGGUUAGAUACAUUUGUGCUAAGUUAUAGCCUUUCAUAGACAACUUGUUGACUAUGUUUAGUCUUGCAGCUUACUCGCUUAUGCUAUUUUACCUACGCUUAGGAUGUUGAUAGUCACAGCGUGUAC
rnacentral:rRNA from 1 species